rnacentral:rRNA from 1 species
GACGAACGCUGGCGGCGUGCCUAAUACAUGCAAGUCGAGCGGACAGAAGGGAGCUUGCUCCCGGAAGUUAGCGGCGGACGGGUGAGUAACACGUGGGCAACCUACCCUGUAGAUCGGGAUAACAUCGAGAAAUCGGUGCUAAUACCGGAUAAUCAUUUGAAGUGCAUGCUUCGAAUGUAAAAGAUGGCUCCGGCUAUCACUACGGGAUGGGCCCGCGGCGCAUUAGCUGGUUGGUAAGGUAAUGGCUUACCAAGGCAACGAUGCGUAGCCGACCUGAGAGGGUGAUCGGCCACACUGGGACUGAGACACGGCCCAGACUCCUACGGGAGGCAGCAGUAGGGAAUCUUCCGCAAUGGACGAAAGUCUGACGGAGCGACGCCGCGUGAGUGAUGAAGGUUUUCGGAUCGUAAAGCUCUGUUGUUAGGGAAGAACAAGUGCCGUUUGAAUAAGGCGGCACCUUGACGGUACCUAACCAGAAAGCCACGGCUAACUACGUGCCAGCCGCCACGGUAAUAC